rnacentral:rRNA from 1 species
AGCAGCCGCGGUAAUUCCAGCUCCAAUAGCGUAUAUUAAAGUUGUUGCAGUUAAAAAGCUCGUAGUUGAAUUUCGAGACCGGUUUACUGGUCGUGCUUUUGUACGUACUGGUAUUAUUGGUUUCUCCUUUCUGACGAAUCAUAAUGCCAUUAAUUUGGUGUUUUGGGGAAUCAGGACUGUUACUUUGAAAAAUUAGAGUGUUUAAAGCAGGCUCACGCUUGAAUACAUUAGCAUGGAAUAACGAAAUAGGACGUUUGAUUUUAUUUUGUUGGUUUCUAGGAUCGACGUAAUGAUUAAUAGGGAUAGUUGGGGGCAUUAGUAUUCAAUUGUCAGAGGUGAAAUUCUUGGAUUUAUUGAAGACUAACUACUGCGAAAGCAUUUGCCAAGGAUGUUUUCAUUAAUCAAGAACGAAAGUUAGGGGAUCGAAGACGAUCAGAUACCGUCGUAGUCUUAACCAUAAACUAUGCCGACUAGGGAUCGGAUGAUGUUAUUUUUAAUGUACUCAUUC